UACUUUUUAAAGAUAAAAAAAUCUAAGGAGAAGACUAUGAGAGUGCUUAUUCUAUACCGACAUGUUGGAUCACAUGAUUUUGUACAUAAUGAUAACUCAAUUUCUCAACAAGGUAUUAAAAUAAAGUUUCUUAAGAAUUGGUAUUGUAUCAUGAAAUGACUUGACUUUAAUUCUAUAAAUUAAUAGUUUUGGUAUAUUGAAUAACUAGGCUCCAUGACAGGUCCAUACCGAGAAGGGGGGCAUAAGUAUAUGCCAUGUUUUGAUUCAUUUGAUUCCACUAAACAUAUGUACGUGAUUUUUUCUUAUAUUCCUUUGUUUUAGAUGUCUAGUUAUGUUCUUUUUUUUUUUGGAAAAAAGAAUUAGUGUGAUAUUUGAAAACAUUUAUUGUAAUAUGUAGAUGUGUAUACUUCAUGAUCAUGCAAUUGUUACCAUUGUUGUGCAGGAAGUAAAUAAGGCAAGACUUGUCGACGUGUUUGUGUUGUAGUCUGUAGUGCAGGUGGUGAGUUGCUUGUCGAUGGUCACCUAUGGUUUUCCUUGUACAAAGUUAUUGGUUUCGGUUGGUAGCUUAAUUAUAAUGAUGUUGAUGCAUCCAUUUGUUUUAGCUCCUGCUGCUGGUGUUGCUCUGGUUUUUCUCUAGUGCCUCCAAGUCCGGCUAAUGUGUUCUUGUUCGUUGAUCUAUUUUCUGCAAGCCUGAAGAGUUUUAGUGUAUAAGUGUUUGGUUUUGCUUUUGGAAUUUUAGUAUUUCUUUAUAGAGAAGUUUAGUUUGUAUUUUGUUUCAUGGUUUUUUAGUUGUACUUAGCAUAAGUUGUAGGUGUGUAACUUUUGUCCCAAUUUUGGUCCGUCUUGAGUUUGGAUUAGUAUUAAUCAAAUUUAUUUUUCGAUAAAAACAGUCUCUAAAUUUGUAUGUUUAAGGAAUAAAUGAAAGAAAUGAAAAUGACCC
rnacentral:lncRNA from 1 species